rnacentral:rRNA from 1 species
UUGAACGCUGGCGGCACGCCUAACACAUGCAAGUCGAGCGGUAGCAGGACUAGUAGCAAUACUAGUUGCUGACGAGCGGCGGACGGGUGAGGAAUACGUAGGAAUCUGCCCUUGAGCGGGGGAUAACUAAGGGAAACUUUAGCUAAUACCGCAUGAUCUCGAGAGAGCAAAGCUGCCGCAAGGUGGCACUCGAGGAGGAGCCUACGUCCGAUUAGCUAGUUGGUGAGGUAAGAGCUCACCAAGGCGAUGAUCGGUAACUGGUCUGAGAGGACGACCAGUCACACUGGGACUGAGACACGGCCCAGACUCCUACGGGAGGCAGCAGUGGGGGAAUAUUGGACAAUGGGGGCAACCCUGAUCCAGCGAUGCCGCGUGAGUGAAGAAGGCCUUCGGGUCGUAAAGCUCUUUAGGUUGGGAAGAAGGUUAUGAGUGGAUAAUACUUGUAAUUUGACGGUACCGACAGAAUAAGCACCGGCAAACUCUGUGCCAGCAGCCGCGGUAAUACAGAGGGUGCAAGCGUUAAUCGGAUUUACUGGGCGUAAAGGGCGCGUAGGCGGCUAGAUGUGUGGAAUGUGAAAGCCCCGGGCUUAACCUGGGAAGUGCAUACCAAACUAUCUGACUGGAGUAGGUGAGAGGGUGGCGGAAUUUCCGGUGUAGCGGUGAAAUGCGUAGAGAUCGGAAGGAACGUCAAUGGCGAAGGCAGCCACCUGGCACCAUACUGACGCUGAGGCGCGAAAGCGUGGGGAGCGAAACAGGAUUAGAUACCCCUGGUAGUCCACGCUGUAAACGAUGAGCGACUAAGUGUUGGUAGGGGUUAAGUCCUUAUCCGUAUGCCGCAGCUAACGCGAUUAAGUCUUCCGCCUGGGGAAGUACGGCCGCAAGGUUGAAACUCAAAUGAAUUGACGGGGGCCCGCACAAGCGGUGGAGCAUGUGGUUCAAUUCGAUGCAGAGCGAAGAACCUUACCUGGGCUUGACAUGCUGGAAGUAGAGACCCGAAAGGGGGACGACCUGUUAAGUCAGGAGCCAGCACAGGUGGUGCAUGGCUGUCGUCAGCUCGUGCCGUGAGGUGUUGGGUUAAGUCCCGCAACGAGCGCAACCCUCACCCUAUGUUGCCAUCAGUUCGGCCUGGGCACUCUUAGGGAACUGCCGGCGAAGAGCUGGAGGAAGGGGGGAUGACGUCAAGUCCGUAUGCCCCUUAUGUCCAGGGGCUACACACAUGCUACAAUGGUCGGUACAGAGGGUUGCCAACCCGCGAGGGGGAGCCAAUCCCAUAAAGCCGAUCUCAGUUCGGAUUGCAGGCUGCAACUCGCCUGCAUGAAGUAGGAAUCGCUAGUAAGCGCAGAUCAGCAGGCUGCGCUGAAUACGUUCCCGGGCCUUGUACACACCGCCCGUCACACCACGAAAGCCAGUUGUACCAGAAGUCGCCGAGCUAACCGCAAGGACGCAGGCGCCCAAGGUAUGGUUGGUGAUUGGGGUG